CCUACGGGAGGCAGCAGUGAGGAAUAUUGCACAAUGGGCGAGACCCUGAUGCAGCGACGCCGCGUGAGUGAAGAAGUAAUUCGUUAUGUAAAGCUCUAUCAGCAGGGAAGAAAAUGACGGUCCCUGAGUGAGAAGCCCCUGCUAACUACAUGCCAGCAGCCGCGGUAAGACGUAGGGGGCACGCGUUAUCCGGAUUUACUGGGUGUAAAGGGAGCGUAGACGGCAGUGCAAGUCUGGAGGGAAAGGCGGGGGCUCAACCCCCGGACUGCCGUUGAAACUGUACGGCUGGAGUGCACGAGAGGUAAGUGGAAUGCGUAGUGUAGCGGUGAAAUGCGUAGAUAUUAGGAGGAACACCAGUGGCGAAGGCGGCUUACUGGACUGUAACUGACGUUGAGGCUCGAAAGCGUGGGGAGCAAACAGGAUUAGAUACCCCUGUAGUC
rnacentral:rRNA from 1 species